GUAAACAGCCGCUAAGAAUGGAUUUUACAAAUCUUGACCCCUAAGGGGGUAAAACGGGGGUUGGAAGUUUAUAUGAAAGUCCUAUGUUUUUGAAGUCAGAGACUUGAAAUUUAAAAUGUGUGCUCUAAAGAUAGUGAGGAGGUGUUCAAAUAACGUAUCUUUAGAAAUCAACUCCCUUUUGGGGUUAAAACGGGGUAUGGUAGGUUGACUCACUCAUCACGAAAUCUCCGAA
rnacentral:misc_RNA from 1 species